rnacentral:rRNA from 1 species
GAUGAACGCUGGCGGCGUGCCUAAUACAUGCAAGUCGAGCGAACAGAUGAGGAGCUUGCUCCUCUGACGUUAGCGGCGGACGGGUGAGUAACACGUGGAUAACCUACCUAUAAGACUGGGAUAACUUCGGGAAACCGGAGCUAAUACCGGAUAAUAUAUUGAACCGCAUGGUUCAAUAGUGAAAGACGGUUUUGCUGUCACUUAUAGAUGGAUCCGCGCCGCAUUAGCUAGUUGGUAAGGUAACGGCUUACCAAGGCGACGAUGCGUAGCCGACCUGAGAGGGUGAUCGGCCACACUGGAACUGAGACACGGUCCAGACUCCUACGGGAGGCAGCAGUAGGGAAUCUUCCGCAAUGGGCGAAAGCCUGACGGAGCAACGCCGCGUGAGUGAAGAAGGUCUUCGGAUCGUAAAACUCUGUUAUUAGGGAAGAACAAAUGUGUAAGUAACUAUGCACGUCUUGACGGUACCUAAUCAGAAAGCCACGGCUAACUACGUG